UACGUAGGGGGCAAGCGUUGUCCGGAAUCAUUGGGCGUAAAGCGCGUGUAGGCGGCUCGAUAAGUCCGCUCUGAAAGUCCGGGGCUCAACCCCGGGAGGCGGGUGGAUACUGUCGGGCUAGAGUCCGGAAGAGGCGGGUGGAAUUCCUGGUGUAGCGGUGAAAUGCGCAGAUAUCAGGAGGAACACCAAUGGCGAAGGCAGCCCGCUGGGACGGUACUGACGCUGAGGAGCGAAAGCGUGGGGAGCGAACAGG
rnacentral:rRNA from 1 species